CGCAGCUUGGUUGGGGUCUCGCCGUCUCCACCCACUCUGGACCCAGGACUAGGGUCCAGCUUCCAGCAGGUCGACCUCUCUCCGAAUUCCAGAGAGCAGGAACAGGAACAAGCUCUUAGCAGAGCUUAGUGAUUAUACCCUGGGGAGUAUAGUGAUUAUAGCAAUCCCCAGAGUGUAGUUUCUCCAAUCCUCCAAACAUGAGUCGAAACUUCAUGAAGGUACAAGAUGAUCUGACUCCAAUGAGCGUUUAUUACUCCUUAUAUACAAGUUUUCAGGUCAGAGGCACACCCCCUGGACCUGG